GAGCAAUACAGGCCCUAAAAGAAGAGCUCUCUGCCAGGCAGGACUCCAUCACUGUCCUGCUGCACCAGCACAGGCAGCAGGAAGAGAAGUGCAGGAAGCUGCAGCAAAGCCUUGAGCAACUGGAGCAGGAAUGCCAGACAGCCAGCAGCCACCAGCAGCACCUGCAGUCGCUGGUAGAAGCACUCAGAAGCAUCCUCCUGUCACUGCUUUUCCUGCUUUCCUCUGAAUCCUAAUGCUGUCUUGGAGACUCGGAGCGAUAUUGAAACAAGAUGCUUCCCUCUAGACAUGCUGGUUCUCUGAAUUCUGUUCUUUGGGGGCUCUUUCCUAGCCACGGCUUCCCAGUGAAUGAGGGCAAAAGCCUGCCUGCCUUCCUGUGUCCCUCUCCAGUGGCCUUGUGAGGGGAAGGGCAAGUUCUUCCUUACCGU